rnacentral:rRNA from 1 species
GCAUAUCAAUAAGCGGAGGAAAAGAAACCAACAGGGAUUGCCUCAGUAACGGCGAGUGAAGCGGCAACAGCUCAAAUUUGAAAUCUGGCCCCAGGCCCGAGUUGUAAUUUGCAGAGGAUGCUUUUGGCAAGGUGCCUUCCGAGUUCCCUGGAACGGGACGCCAUAGAGGGUGAGAGCCCCGUCUGGUUGGAUACCGAGCCUCUGUAAAGCUCCUUCGACGAGUCGAGUAGUUUGGGAAUGCUGCUCAAAAUGGGAGGUAUAUGUCUUCUAAAGCUAAAUACCGGCCAGAGACCGAUAGCGCACAAGUAGAGUGAUCGAAAGAUGAAAAGCACUUUGAAAAGAGAGUUAAAUAGCACGUGAAAUUGUUGAAAGGGAAGCGUUCAUGACCAGACUUGGACCGGUUGAUCAUCCAGUGUUCUCACUGGUGCACUCUGCCGGUUCAGGCCAGCAUCAGUUCGCCCCGGGGGAUAAAGGCUUUGGGAACGUAGCUCCUCGGAGUGUUAUAGCCCAUUGUGCAAUACCCUGGAGCGGACUGAGGUUCGCGCUCUGCAAGGAUGCUGGCGUAAUGGUCAUCAACGACCCGUCUUGAAACACGGACCAAGGAGUCGUCUUCGUAUGCGAGUGUUCGGGUGUAAAACCCCUACGCGUAAUGAAAGUGAACGCAGGUGAGAGCUUCGGCGCAUCAUCGACCGAUCCUGAUGUUCUCGGAUGGAUUUGAGUAAGAGCAUACGGGGCCGGACCCGAAAGAAGGUGAACUAUGCUUGUAUAGGGUGAAGCCAGAGGAAACUCUGGUGGAGGCUCGCAGCGGUUCUGACGUGCAAAUCGAUCGUCAAAUAUGAGCAUGGGGGCGAAAGACUAAUCGAACCUUCUAGUAGCUGGUUUCCGCCGA